UACGGAGGGGGUUAGCGUUGUUCGGAAUUACUGGGCGUAAAGCGCGCGUAGGCGGAUUAGUCAGUCAGGGGUGAAAUCCCGGGGCUCAACCCCGGAACUGCCUUUGAUACUGCUAGUCUUGAGUUCGAGAGAGGUGAGUGGAAUUCCGAGUGUAGAGGUGAAAUUCGUAGAUAUUCGGAGGAACACCAGUGGCGAAGGCGGCUCACUGGCCCGAAACUGACGCUGAGGUGCGAAAGCGUGGGGAGCAAACAGG
rnacentral:misc_RNA from 1 species